rnacentral:rRNA from 1 species
AUACGGAGGAUGCGAGCGUUAUCCGGAUUUAUUGGGUUUAAAGGGUGCGUAGGCUGUGCGUUAAGUCAGGGGUGAAAUGCCGUCGCUCAACGACGGAGCUGCCCUUGAUACUGGCGUGCUGGAGUACGGAUGCCGUUGGAGGAAUGAGUGGUGUAGCGGUGAAAUGCUUAGAUAUCACUCAGAACACCGAUUGCGAAGGCAUCUGACGAAUCCGUCACUGACGCUGAGGCACGAAAGCGUGGGGAUAGAACAGGAUUAGAUACCCUGGUAUUCCACGCCGUAAACGAUGAUGACUAACCGUCGGCGAUAGACAGCCGGUGGCCGAGCGAAAGCGAUAAGUCAUCCACCUGGGGAGUACGUCGGCAACGAUGAAACUUAAAGGAAUUGACGGG